rnacentral:rRNA from 1 species
GACGAACGCUGGCGGCGUGCUUAACACAUGCAAGUCGAACGGUAAGGCCCUUUCGGGGGUCCACGAGUGGCGAACGGGUGAGUAACACGUGGGUGAUCUGCCCUGCACUUUGGGAUAAGCCUGGGAAACUGGGUCUAAUACCGGAUAGGACUACGCGAUGCAUGUCGUGUGGUGGAAAGCUUUUGCGGUGUGGGAUGGGCCCGCGGCCUAUCAGCUUGUUGGUGGGGUGAUGGCCUACCAAGGCGACGACGGGUAGCCGGCCUGAGAGGGUGUCCGGCCACACUGGGACUGAGAUACGGCCCAGACUCCUACGGGAGGCAGCAGUGGGGAAUAUUGCACAAUGGGCGCAAGCCUGAUGCAGCGACGCCGCGUGGGGGAUGGCGGCCUUCGGGUUGUAAACCCCUUUCAGCACAGACGAAGCGUAAGUGACGGUAUGUGCAGAAGAAGCACCGGCCAACUACGUG